UCUGGCAUUUGCCCGAGUUGUAACCUAGAGAAGCGUUUUCGGCCACUGCCUCGGACAAGUCCCUUGGAACAGGGCGUCAUAGAGGGUGAGAAUCCCGUCUGCCGAGCUACCAGUGUCUACAGAUACGCUCUCGAAGAGUCGAGUUGUUUGGGAAUGCAGCUCAAAACGGGUGGUAAACUCCAUCUAAAGCUAAAUAUUGGCGAGAGACCGAUAGCGAACAAGUACCGUGAGGGAAAGAUGAAAAGCACUUUGGAAAGAGAGUUAAACAGUACGUGAAAUUGUUGAAAGGGAAGCGCUUGGAGUCAGUCGCGUCUUCAGAGACUCAGCCGUCAAGGUGCACUUCUCUGUUGACGGGCCAGUAUCGAUUUCGGCCGCGGGACAAGGGCACGAGGAAUGUGGCAGCUUCGGCUGUGUUAUAGCCUCGCGUCGUAUGCCGCGGCUGGGAUCGAGGACCGCCUUUGCAGGAUACUGGCGUAAUGGCUCUAAGCGACCCGUCUUGAAACACGGACCAAGGAGUCUAACAUGUCUGCGAGUGUUUGGGUGUCAAACCCAUGCGCGCAAUGAAAGUGAACGUAGGUGGGAGGCCUCGGCCGCACCAUCGACCGAUCCGGAUCUUUAGUGAUGGAUUUGAGUAAGAGCAUAUAUGUUGGGACCCGAAAGAUGGUGAACUAUGCCUGAAUAGGGCGAAGCCAGAGGAAA
rnacentral:rRNA from 1 species